CCCCGUACACAAAAAUGCACAUACUGUGAGCUCGAUGAGUAGGGCGGGACACGUGGUAUCCUGUCUGAAUAUGGGGGGACCAUCCUCCAAGGCUAAAUACUCCUGACUGACCGAUAGUGAACCAGUACCGUGAGGGAAAGGCGAAAAGAACCCCGGCGAGGGGAGUGAAAAAGAACCUGAAACCGUGUACGUACAAGCAGUGGGAGCCUCUUAAUGGGGUGACUGCGUACCUUUUGUAUAAUGGGUCAGCGACUUAUAUUCUGUAGCAAGGUUAACCGAAUAGGGGAGCCGAAGGGAAACCGAGUCUUAACUGGGCGUUAAGUUGCAGGGUAUAGACCCGAAACCCGGUGAUCUAGCCAUGGGCAGGUUGAAGGUUGGGUAACACUAACUGGAGGACCGAACCGACUAAUGUUGAAAAAUUAGCGGAUGACUUGUGGCUGGGGGUGAAAGGCCAAUCAAACCGGGAGAUAGCUGGUUCUCCCCGAAAGCUAUUUAGGUAGCGCCUCGUGAAUUCAUCUCCGGGGGUAGAGCACUGUUUCGGCAAGGGGGUCAUCCCGACUUACCAACCCGAUGCAAACUGCGAAUACCGGAGAAUGUUAUCACGGGAGACACACGGCGGGUGCUAACGUCCGU
rnacentral:rRNA from 1 species